AAAGAAUCACUUUUUCUAAGUAUGUCGGAGUGAUUGAGCAGAGAGAAAAAUGAAUACCCUAAGCGAACUAGAAAUCUGGAAAGAACCGAAAUAGAGGCAGUGUCUCAUGACACUUUACUUGAGGACUCACCUGAUGAACUGCUGAUCAACUCUAUAGAUUCCUUCACCUAACCAGAACUGACUUCAUCAGAGAGUUAUGAUGGUUAACUCUAUCAGUCUUCUACCUGAAUGCCCCAAGAUAUUGAUGAAGUCAACAAAAACAUUGAGCCUCAGAACACAAGAAAUCUUGGACAAACUGGGAGACAGCUUGUCAGUAUCUAAGGUUGCCAUCUGGAGUUUUAAGUAAUUGUCUACUACUGAAGAAACAAGACCCAGCAGACCCUCAGAUGGAACUGAAGUCUCUGUCUUGUCCUGGAGAUGUCCCCCAUCUCCUCAUCCCCAUCAGCUGAGGAUUUCCAUUUGUUUACAUGGCCCUCCAGGAUCUCUCCUGCACUUCCCCAGACUUGAUCCUGAAGCCUCCAUUUCCCUCCCUAUAGGGUUCAGAUAUCUCCAACCAAAGAACAAGUCAGCCAUGCUAUAAGUGCCUUGAAAUCAAGUUCUAAGUGAUCUGUUGCCCUUCUCUUGCCUCUACCUGCUUACAGAGAAAAGAGCAGGUCUCAUGGUGAUAUCAACUUAACACUGCAGUAACAAGAUGCAAUAAGAGGAGACAUAAACUCUCACAUCAAGGCUUGAAGAAGUAACCCAGCAG
rnacentral:lncRNA from 1 species